rnacentral:tRNA from 1 species
CAGAAAGUAGUUUAAGUAAAAUGUUAGCUUUGGGAGCUAGUGAUAGAGGUUUGAGCCCUUUCUUUCUGA